rnacentral:rRNA from 1 species
CGUAGAGUUUUGAACCUGGCUCAGGACGAACGCUGGCGGCGUGCUUAACACAUGCAAGUCGAACGAUGAUGCCCAGCUUGCUGGGUGGAUUAGUGGCGAACGGGUGAGUAACACGUGAGUAACCUGCCCCUGACUCUGGGAUAAGCGUUGGAAACGACGUCUAAUACUGGAUAUGACUGCCGGCCGCAUGGUCUGGUGGUGGAAAGAUUUUUUGGUUGGGGAUGGACUCGCGGCCUAUCAGCUUGUUGGUGAGGUAAUGGCUCACCAAGGCGACGACGGGUAGCCGGCCUGAGAGGGUGACCGGCCACACUGGGACUGAGACACGGCCCAGACUCCUACGGGAGGCAGCAGUGGGGAAUAUUGCACAAUGGGCGAAAGCCUGAUGCAGCAACGCCGCGUGAGGGAUGACGGCCUUCGGGUUGUAAACCUCUUUUAGUAGGGAAGAAGGGAGCUUGCUCUUGACGGUACCUGCAGAAAAAGCACCGGCUAACUACGUGCCAGCAGCCGCGGUAAUACGUAGGGUGCAAGCGUUGUCCGGAAUUAUUGGGCGUAAAGAGCUCGUAGGCGGUUUGUCGCGUCUGCUGUGAAAUCCCGAGGCUCAACCUCGGGCUUGCAGUGGGUACGGGCAGACUAGAGUGCGGUAGGGGAGAUUGGAAUUCCUGGUGUAGCGGUGGAAUGCGCAGAUAUCAGGAGGAACACCGAUGGCGAAGGCAGAUCUCUGGGCCGUAACUGACGCUGAGGAGCGAAAGCAUGGGGAGCGAACAGGAUUAGAUACCCUGGUAGUCCAUGCCGUAAACGUUGGGCGCUAGAUGUAGGGACCUUUCCACGGUUUCUGUGUCGUAGCUAACGCAUUAAGCGCCCCGCCUGGGGAGUACGGCCGCAAGGCUAAAACUCAAAGGAAUUGACGGGGGCCCGCACAAGCGGCGGAGCAUGCGGAUUAAUUCGAUGCAACGCGAAGAACCUUACCAAGGCUUGACAUACACCGGAAACGGCCAGAGAUGGUCGCCCCCUUGUGGUCGGUGUACAGGUGGUGCAUGGUUGUCGUCAGCUCGUGUCGUGAGAUGUUGGGUUAAGUCCCGCAACGAGCGCAACCCUCGUUCUAUGUUGCCAGCGCGUUAUGGCGGGGACUCAUAGGAGACUGCCGGGGUCAACUCGGAGGAAGGUGGGGAUGACGUCAAAUCAUCAUGCCCCUUAUGUCUUGGGCUUCACGCAUGCUACAAUGGCCGGUACAAAGGGCUGCGAUACCGUAAGGUGGAGCGAAUCCCAAAAAGCCGGUCUCAGUUCGGAUUGAGGUCUGCAACUCGACCUCAUGAAGUCGGAGUCGCUAGUAAUCGCAGAUCAGCAACGCUGCGGUGAAUACGUUCCCGGGCCUUGUACACACCGCCCGUCAAGUCAUGAAAGUCGGUAACACCCGAAGCCGGUGGCCUAACCCUUGUGGGAGGAGCCGUCGAAGGUGGGAUCGGUGAUUAGGACUAAGUCGUAACAAGGUAACCGUAA